rnacentral:rRNA from 1 species
UCCUCCAAGGCUAAAUACUCCUGACUGACCGAUAGUGAACCAGUACCGUGAGGGAAAGGCGAAAAGAACCCCGGCGAGGGGAGUGAAAAAGAACCUGAAACCGUGUACGUACAAGCAGUGGGAGCACGCUUAGGCGUGUGACUGCGUACCUUUUGUAUAAUGGGUCAGCGACUUAUAUUCUGUAGCAAGGUUAACCGAAUAGGGGAGCCGAAGGGAAACCGAGUCUUAACUGGGCGUUAAGUUGCAGGGUAUAGACCCGAAACCCGGUGAUCUAGCCAUGGGCAGGUUGAAGGUUGGGUAACACUAACUGGAGGACCGAACCGACUAAUGUUGAAAAAUUAGCGGAUGACUUGUGGCUGGGGGUGAAAGGCCAAUCAAACCGGGAGAUAGCUGGUUCUCCCCGAAAGCUAUUUAGGUAGCGCCUCGUGAAUUCAUCUCCGGGGGUAGAGCACUGUUUCGGCAAGGGGGUCAUCCCGACUUACCAACCCGAUGCAAACUGCGAAUACCGGAGAAUGUUAUCACGGGAGACACACGGCGGGUGCUAACGUCCGUCGUGAAGAGGGAAACAACCCAGACCGCCAGCUAAGGUCCCAAAGUCAUGGUUAAGUGGGAAACGAUGUGGGAAGGCCCAGACAGCCAGGAUGUUGGCUUAGAAGCAGCCAUCAUUUAAAGAAAGCGUAAUAGCUCACUGGUCGAGUCGGCCUGCGCGGAAGAUGUAACGGGGCUAAACCAUGCACCGAAGCUGCGGCAGCGACGCUUAUGCGUUGUUGGGUAGGGGAGCGUUCUGUAAGCCUGCGAAGGUGUGCUGUGAGGCAUGCUGGAGGUAUCAGAAGUGCGAAUGCUGACAUAAGUAACGAUAAAGCGGGUGAAAAGCCCGCUCGCCGGAAGACCAAGGGUUCCUGUCCAACGUUAAUCGGGGCAGGGUGAGUCGACCCCUAAGGCGAGGCCGAAAGGCGUAGUCGAUGGGAAACAGGUUAAUAUUCCUGUACUUGGUGUUACUGCGAAGGGGGGACGGAGAAGGCUAUGUUGGCCGGGCGACGGUUGUCCCGGUUUAAGCGUGUAGGCUGGUUUUCCAGGCAAAUCCGGAAAAUCAAGGCUGAGGCGUGAUGACGAGGCACUACGGUGCUGAAGCAACAAAUGCCCUGCUUCCAGGAAAAGCCUCUAAGCAUCAGGUAACAUCAAAUCGUACCCCAAACCGACACAGGUGGUCAGGUAGAGAAUACCAAGGCGCUUGAGAGAACUCGGGUGAAGGAACUAGGCAAAAUGGUGCCGUAACUUCGGGAGAAGGCACGCUGAUAUGUAGGUGAAGUCCCUUGCGGAUGGAGCUGAAAUCAGUCGAAGAUACCAGCUGGCUGCAACUGUUUAUUAAAAACACAGCACUGUGCAAACACGAAAGUGGACGUAUACGGUGUGACGCCUGCCCGGUGCCGGAAGGUUAAUUGAUGGGGUCAGCGCAAGCGAAGCUCUUGAUCGAAGCCCCGGUAAACGGCGGCCGUAACUAUAACGGUCCUAAGGUAGCGAAAUUCCUUGUCGGGUAAGUUCCGACCUGCACGAAUGGCGUAAUGAUGGCCAGGCUGUCUCCACCCGAGACUCAGUGAAAUUGAACUCGCUGUGAAGAUGCAGUGUACCCGCGGCAAGACGGAAAGACCCCGUGAACCUUUACUAUAGCUUGACACUGAACAUUGAGCCUUGAUGUGUAGGAUAGGUGGGAGGCUUUGAAGUGUGGACGCCAGUCUGCAUGGAGCCGGCCUUGAAAUACCACCCUUUAAUGUUUGAUGUUCUAACGUGGACCCGUGAUCCGGGUUGCGGACAGUGUCUGGUGGGUAGUUUGACUGGGGCGGUCUCCUCCUAAAGAGUAACGGAGGAGCACGAAGGUUGGCUAAUCCUGGUCGGACAUCAGGAGGUUAGUGCAAUGGCAUAAGCCAGCUUGACUGCGAGCGUGACGGCGCGAGCAGGUGCGAAAGCAGGUCAUAGUGAUCCGGUGGUUCUGAAUGGAAGGGCCAUCGCUCAACGGAUAAAAGGUACUCCGGGGAUAACAGGCUGAUACCGCCCAAGAGUUCAUAUCGACGGCGGUGUUUGGCACCUCGAUGUCGGCUCAUCACAUCCUGGGGCUGAAGUAGGUCCCAAGGGUAUGGCUGUUCGCCAUUUAAAGUGGUACGCGAGCUGGGUUUAGAACGUCGUGAGACAGUUC